GGUCUUAUUUUUAUUAGAACAACAACUUUUAGGUUUUAUUUUUAUUAGAACAGCAACUUCUAGGUCUUAUUUUUAUUAGAAGAACAACUUUUAGGGCUUAUUUUUAUUAGAGGAACAAUUUUUAGGUCUUAUUUUUAUUAGAACAGCAACUUCUGGGUCUUAUUUUUAUUAGAA